rnacentral:rRNA from 1 species
CCGCCGGCGACCGGCGCACGGGUGAGUAACACGUAUGCAACCUGGCCGUGACAGAUGGAUAACCGGGAGAAAUCCCGCCUAAUACAACAUAAUGCCGGGAGGGGGAACAUCCCCUGCCGGCCAAAGGGGCGACCCCGGUCACGGAUGGGCAUGCGGCGCAUUAGGUAGUUGGUGGGGCAACGGCCCACCAAGCCGACGAUGCGUAGGGGUUCUGAGAGGAAGGUCCCCCACAUUGGAACUGAGACACGGUCCAAACUCCUACGGGAGGCAGCAG